UUAGUUAUUGUAGCAUUUCCGGCUUUAAACUUAGAAAUAUGGUUUGUCUUCUCGGGCGCGCGCUACGACACAGGUUGAGCCAAAGGAUGACGUGAAAUGAUUGACGUGACGUUCUUCUCACUGACGCGUCUCAUCUUGUAAAUUAGUGCUCGAAAAGGUUCGUUUUCACAAUUUAGUGGCAUUUAUGUGCACUCAUCUACAGUAAAUAUCACAGGUUACGAGGACCAUGAUGAGGACUAUAUCAGUGGUUCAUUUCCGGUUUUAAAAGUGCCGCCAUCUUUAGUUUCUUCAGUUGUUGUCGUUAUGGUUACAGGUGUCGUUCACGGGGCUUGACUUCGGCUGUUCGUUUUUAGCUCAGAUUCGGAUUAUAUUAAGUUUACAGAUUUAUUUGAGGAAUAAUAUUAAUGAUAAUGGAAGAGUAAAGCUUUAAACCUCAUGUAUACAGGCCUUUGAGCUUCUCAGUUUUUAGAACAGAUUUAUAACAGGCAUUUUGUUACUGACAACUGACAUACAGCAGCACCAUCAUAUCUGACUCUGGGUUAUAGCCCCUAACAUGAUUUACCUCAAGCAUCAUGAGCAGACAUCAAAGACAGACAGUUUGAUGUGUCCAUAGAUGGGUUCUCGGCUGGUAUUGGGUCUGUGGAGAUGUUUGGUAACUCUUUCCUUCCUGAGGGCUUCAGUGUUUGUGUAAGACCAGUUGAAAGCCCUUCUUCUGGGUGUGGGAAACUGCUCCUCCCUGGACUCCACACUUCCUCUAGUCAAGGACUGUCCGGCCGAAACCUCAGACCUCUGUGAGCUCUCUGCCGCAUGGCCUGCAGUACACGAGUCUCAUCAUAUACAUACACAGGUUUGAUUUGAUAACGCUCUCUUGUAAAAACUUCAUACGCUGUAUAUAAAUGUAUAUACAUUCAGUGGCACACAAAAUACUCUUUUUAAAGUGAAGUCUUCAGUUCACAUCAAAAAAUCAUUUAAUAAUUCAAGUUUUUGUCUUG